rnacentral:lncRNA from 1 species
CCUGAGUUAUAAGAACUAAAUUGUAAGGCUUUUUUUUUUUUUUUUUUUUUUUUUUUUCAGAAGACAAGAUGAAAGCAAGCCUUAAUAAUCUGUGCAUUCUGCUAGACAUGACCCAGGUUUUGUAUAAUUUUCAGCAUGCUUUCCUUAUGUUCUGUGGAUUAGACCCAAGGACCGGUGGCAUUUAGAUGACCUGAUGACACAGCUGACUCUUGUUUUUACCUUCUAAAAUGCAUACAAUACAAAUUAACUGAUGUAGCUCACUACUGUAACCAAGAAUUGAUAAGCAUUUACUGUGAAGAAACUGACUUCUGCCCAGGAGCAUCCUAUAAAACUGCUGGACAUUCAAUCUCUGCUACUCACUGACUGCACUAACUACAACUGCUCAAAGAUAACACUGAGUCCAGGUUAAGCGGGAUUUAAAGCAGGCCUGGGCAUUCACUGUCAUCGAGAAAUGUAGCAAGACUUAUUGCUAAGGUUGUUGAACACACUUAUAAUUGAUCAAGCUUUGUCAGAUGGCAACUUUCUUGGCUAAUAUCCUUGGGCAUGUCUGCAGAGCAGGCCUAAUUCACCUGGUGAACAUCCAGAUCUCACAAGUAGGAGCAGCCCUGCUGUAAGGUUAUAUUCAAUUAAAU